AUUGAACGCUGGCGGCAUGCUUUACACAUGCAAGUCGAACGGCAGCGGGGAGGAGCUUGCUUCUCUGCCGGCGAGUGGCGAACGGGUGAGUAAUACAUCGGAACGUAUCGAGAAGAGGGGGAUAACCACCCGAAAGGGUGGCUAAUACCGCAUAAAUUCUGAGGAAGAAAGCUGGGGACCUAGGAAUAGGCCUAGCGCUUUUUGAGCGGCCGAUGUCGGAUUAGCUAGUUGGUGAGGUAAAGGCUCACCAAGGCGAAGAUCUGUAGCGGGUCUGAGAGGAUGAUCCGCCACACUGGGACUGAGACACGGCCCAGACUCCUACGGGAGGCAGCAGUGGGGAAUUUUGGACAAUGGGGGCAACCCUGAUCCAGCCAUGCCGCGUGUAUGAAGAAGGCCUUAGGGUUGUAAAGUACUUUUGUUAGGGAAGAAAAGUCAGCUGUGAAUAAUGGCUGAUACUGACGGUACCUAAAGAAUAAGCACCGGCUAACUACGUG
rnacentral:rRNA from 1 species